UGGGUAACCUGCCUCAAAGAGGGGAAUAGCCUCCCGAAAGGGAGAUUAAUACCGCAUAAUAUGUUUAAGUCGCAUGACUUUAACAUCAAAGGAUUUUCUUUAGAAAUUCCACUUUGAGAUGGACCCGCGGCGCAUUAGCUAGUUGGUGAGGUAACGGCUCACCAAGGCAACGNUGCGUAGCCGACCUGAGGAGGGUGAUCGGCCACAUUGGAACUGAGACACGGUCCAGCU
rnacentral:rRNA from 1 species